rnacentral:tRNA from 1 species
GCAGUCGUGGCCGAGUGGUUAAGGCAAUGGACUCGAAAUCCACUGGGGUUUCCCCCAGCAGGUUCGAAUCCAGUCAACUCUU